UGACGCGAUGAAGGUCACAUCUUUCGGGACCGAACGUUUUGUGUGGACAAACUUACUUUUGCUGAGCGUCG
rnacentral:snoRNA from 1 species